rnacentral:rRNA from 1 species
AGUGAACGCUGGCGGUAGGCCUAACACAUGCAAGUCGAACGGCAGCACAGAGGAGCUUGCUCCUUGGGUGGCGAGUGGCGGACGGGUGAGGAAUACAUCGGAAUCUACUCUGUCGUGGGGGAUAACGUAGGGAAACUUACGCUAAUACCGCAUACGACCUACGGGUGAAAGCAGGGGGAUCUUCGGACCUUGCGCGAUUGAAUGAGCCGAUGUCGGAUUAGCUAGUUGGCGGGGUAAAGGCCCACCAAGGCGACGAUCCGUAGCUGGUCUGAGAGGAUGAUCAGCCACACUGGAACUGGGACACGGUCCAGACUCCUACGGGAGGCAGCAGUGGGGAAUAUUGGACAAUGGGCGCAAGCCUGAUCCAGCCAUACCGCGUGGGUGAAG